GAUUUACUGUAGGAUUUUUUGAGAGAACAAAUUCCCCAGAGAUUUAAAACUAGUCAGUUCACAGAAAAUCAGCUUAACUCAACAAAUGCUAAAUUGUGUACUAUGCUCAGAGCACUUUGUAAUGGGAAAUAGAAGAGCAGGACAAGGCCCUUCCCCUCAAGUCGCCUUGUCUGGCUGGGAAGAUGAGACAUGUGAAAUAGGAAUGGUUUUAGGGAAGACUGUUGCCGGAUGACAAGGCUGUCACUAUUGUUCUGUACUACCUGACAUUAUGGGACCAGGCCAGCCAGCUUCAACCUGUGUUCAUCUAGCACCUAGGACCCAACUUGAUGGGAGGAGCGACCCCAAAGUACUUCAGACCCAGGCCAGUCAGAUCUUACUGUGCCAAAUUCGCCACCCACCCAUGAUCCGGGACUUCAGCCUCAUCCCAGGAUAGGUGACCACAAAAACAUAAGUGAACAGAAAAGCCUGCUAGAAGUCCAGCGACUCCAGAAAGAACUGAGUAGUUGUAUCCACAAAAUUGAAGAGGUAACUAAAAAAGUUCUUAUUCUACACUGCUGCCAUAGAGAUUGCUCUAAAACAUGAAUCUUACCAUGUCAGACCUCUGCUUAAAAGACUUUAGUGGCUCUCUGUAACUUAGAGGAUGAAAGCUAAACUCUUCAGCGUGGCAUGUAAGACUUCACGAUCCGGCCCGCCUACAUUUCCAGAGUCACCUCCACCUUCACUCCUUCAUGCUAAAUUCCUAUUACACUGGGGACCAAGGGAUGGAAGGUGAACACUGCCUAUUCACCAUCUUGAACUGGAAACCAGUAACUGUUUUUUGGGUGCAUGAAUGAAGAGCCUUUUUUUCAUUUUCAAGUGACUUGAAUUAAUAAUGGUUAUAUUUGGACAAGAGGAGAUAUAU
rnacentral:lncRNA from 1 species